rnacentral:rRNA from 1 species
AUGAACGCUAGCUACAGGCUUAACACAUGCAAGUCGAGGGGCAGCAUUUUAGUUUGCUUGCAAACUGAAGAUGGCGACCGGCGCACGGGUGAGUAACACGUAUCCAACCUGCCGAUAACUCCGGGAUAGCCUUUCGAAAGAAAGAUUAAUACCGGAUAGCAUACGAAUAUCGCAUGAUAUUUUUAUUAAAGAAUUUCGGUUAUCGAUGGGGAUGCGUUCCAUUAGUUUGUUGGCGGGGUAACGGCCCACCAAGACUACGAUGGAUAGGGGUUCUGAGAGGAAGGUCCCCCACAUUGGAACUGAGACACGGUCCAAACUCCUACGGGAGGCAGCAGUGAGGAAUAUUGGUCAAUGGGCGCGAGCCUGAACCAGCCAAGUAGCGUGAAGGAUGAAGGCUCUAUGGGUCGUAAACUUCUUUUAUAUGGGAAUAAAGUUUUCCACGUGUGGAAUUUUGUAUGUACCAUAUGAAUAAGGAUCGGCUAACUCCGUGCCAGCAGCCGCGGUAAUACGGAGGAUCCGAGCGUUAUCCGGAUUUAUUGGGUUUAAAGGGAGCGUAGGUGGAUUGUUAAGUCAGUUGUGAAAGUUUGCGGCUCAACCGUAAAAUUGCAGUUGAAACUGGCAGUCUUGAGUACAGUAGAGGUGGGCGGAAUUCGUGGUGUAGCGGUGAAAUGCUUAGAUAUCACGAAGAACUCCGAUUGCGAAGGCAGCUCACUAGACUGUCACUGACACUGAUGCUCGAAAGUGUGGGUAUCAAACAGGAUUAGAUACCCUGGUAGUCCACACAGUAAACGAUGAAUACUCGCUGUUUGCGAUAUACAGUAAGCGGCCAAGCGAAAGCAUUAAGUAUUCCACCUGGGGAGUACGCCGGCAACGGUGAAACUCAAAGGAAUUGACGGGGGCCCGCACAAGCGGAGGAACAUGUGGUUUAAUUCGAUGAUACGCGAGGAACCUUACCCGGGCUUAAAUUGCAACAGAAUAUAUUGGAAACAGUAUAGCCGUAAGGCUGUUGUGAAGGUGCUGCAUGGUUGUCGUCAGCUCGUGCCGUGAGGUGUCGGCUUAAGUGCCAUAACGAGCGCAACCCUUAUCUUUAGUUACUAACAGGUCAUGCUGAGGACUCUAGAGAGACUGCCGUCGUAAGAUGUGAGGAAGGUGGGGAUGACGUCAAAUCAGCACGGCCCUUACGUCCGGGGCUACACACGUGUUACAAUGGGGGGUACAGAAGGCGGCUACCUGGUGACAGGAUGCUAAUCCCAAAAACCUCUCUCAGUUCGGAUCGAAGUCUGCAACCCGACUUCGUGAAGCUGGAUUCGCUAGUAAUCGCGCAUCAGCCAUGGCGCGGUGAAUACGUUCCCGGGCCUUGUACACACCGCCCGUCACACCAUGAGAGUCGGGAAUACCCGAAGCCUGUGAGCCAACAUAUUUAUAUGAGGCAGCAGUCGAAGGUAGAAUCGAUGAUUGGGGUG